UACGUAGGGGGCUAGCGUUGUCCGGAAUCAUUGGGCGUAAAGCGCGUGUAGGCGGCUAUCCAAGUCAGGCGUGAAAGCCCCGGGCUUAACCUGGGAGGUGCGUCUGGGACUGGGUGGCUAGAGUUCGGGAGAGGAGAGUGGAAUUCCCAGUGUAGAGGUGAAAUUCGUAGAUAUUGGGAAGAACACCGGUGGCGAAGGCGGCUCUCUGGACCGAGACUGACGCUGAGGCGCGAAAGCGUGGGGAGCAAACAGG
rnacentral:rRNA from 1 species